AUACUAAUUAAUAAGUAAAUUAAUACUAAUCCCCUAAAUUAAGGAAUCCUAAUUGCAUAUUAAUUCCCUAAAUUAAAGAAUCCUAAUUGCACUAAUAUUGUAAAUAAAUAUGAAAAGUGUAUUAAUUAUGUAAAUAUUUUAUGAGUGUACUAUUGUUGUAAUUAUUUUUAAAAAUAUAAUAGAAUAUGUAAUUGAUCCUUGAUUAUAUUUAAUCAAGCAGCUGUAUGUCUAAUUUUUGUCGUCUGCCAUAAUAAUCAUUUUAUCACUUCAAUACCUUAGUUUUUCUUUCCGAAACAUAGUUUUUAGGUUAGUAAUUUCUUGUUUGUUAUAGAAAAAAACAAAAAGGCUGUGAAUCAUGGAAACAUUCAUGGAGUUUUUGCAUUACUUGAAAGUCACUGCAGGAUAUAAGUAUUUUUCAAUUUUACCCUUCAACAAAAAGGCAAACUUUUUGGACAAACCAAAUUGAGCGCUACACAAACCUUCAAUCUUACUUCUAAAUUCUGUUUUACUGGCUCGCUAAGAAUAGAAGAAGACUCUUAUAAGGCCAUUAUCUGCACAAGGAACAACCGAUGCUCUUUCUUUGUUUAAGUAUAAGCCUAUAAAAUUCUCUUAUUACAGUUACUUGGCAACAUCUAAGGCUGUUUGGAUCAUAACAUUAAUGAACCAACAGUAUCACUUUACAAACCUCUCAUAUUAGAUACACAACAGUAUCUUUUUACAAACCCCUCAUAUUACAAAUCCCUUAUGAAAGCCUAAACCUGCCAUUGCUUCAUUUUCAUUGCACACAACAGUGAAUUUAAAAACACCGAAGAGGAAGAGGAAGAAUUUGCAGCUAACUUGGCCUUUGAAUGAUCUGGUCACACUCUGGUUUACUGUAGGGGAAUUCAACUGUGAGCUAAUUUAACAUAGUCUACAGCCUUACCACUUUCAAUCUCUUAAGGAUGCUAUCAAAUUGUGCCGUAUCAAAUGCCCAAGGGUUUGGCUUUUCCAAACAAACACCUAUUAAAAACCAGAGCAGAACAUAGUUACAAAUCCAAAAACUCAAUAACCAUCAUCUCACAUUUUAUUGCUAACAUUGUUCCAAAUCGAAUAAUUCAUCUCAGCUUUUAGUAAUAACAUUAUACAGUAGUAUAUAACAACCAAAAUGCAUUUCUUAUUUAUUUAUUUUUUCUUUUUCUUGAAAAGUAAACAAAUACUAAUAGAACAAGUACAGAAUACAGAGCAAGUGUUAUGCGUUCCGGAAAUGUAAACAGGUGGACCAUGUUCUAUAAAAGGGAAUUUCAAUUGAUUCCACAAGUGCAGUAAAAAUUACUUUUAGCUUUAACAAUUCAAAAUACAGAACCUAACUCUACAGAAAAAAACAUAAUAAUUUUACAGAUUAUAGGGUUUGACCCUCAUAAAUUUUAAGCCCUAAAAAGUUAUUAUUGAACACCAAAUCACAAAUUGGAACGAAUCUAAGCCUGAUUUCAACCCAUAAACAAAAAAAUCGUCACCCAAAGUUCUAAUUUUGUUACCUUGCCACUAAAUCGACGAGAAAGGGAGAAGGGGCUGUUGGAUGCGAAGGCGUUGGUUCCUCGCGAAGAGAGAGGGAGAAGGCGAAGAUAUAUAUCGCGAAGAGAGAGGGAGAAAGCAGAGAUUCGUGAGGCUUAGAGAUCGAGAAGGGGCCGAUUCUUUUUGGCGAGAUGGGUUUCAGUCUUCGCAACGAACGAGAGGGAGAGAGAAGGUAACAAAAAAUGCGGCUUUUUUUUUUGGCUGAGUGUCUAAAUAGGAGAGAGAAGGAAAAGGAGGAUAUAUAUAGGUGAGUU
rnacentral:lncRNA from 1 species